rnacentral:rRNA from 1 species
GAUGAACGCUGGCGGCGUGCCUAAUACAUGCAAGUCGAGCGAACCGACGAGGAGCUUGCUCCUCUGACGUUAGCGGCGGACGGGUGAGUACCACGUGGAUAACCUAUCUAUACGACCGGGAUACCUUCGGGAAACCGGAGCUAAUACCGGAUAAUAUAUUGAACCGCAUGGUUCAAUAGUGAAAGACGGUUUUCCUGUCACUUAUCUAUGGCUCCAUGCCGCAUUAGCUAGUUGGUAAGGUAGCGGCUUACCAAGGCAACGAUGCGUAGCCGACCUGAGCGGGUGAGCGGCCGCACUGGAACAGAGACACGGUCCAGACGCCUACGGGAGGCAGCGAUGGAGAAGCUUCGACAAUGGGCGAAAGCCUGACAGAGCAACGCCGCGUGGGUGAGGAAGGGAUGCAGAUCGUAAAACUCUGUUAUUAGGGAAGAAGAGAUAUAAAAGUAACUAGGCGCGACAUGACGGUACCUAAUCAGAAAGCCACGGCUAACUACGUG